CAAACUCCAAAUAUACAGCAGGCGUCAGGGUCGGGAUCGAACCCACGACUUCCUGUAUACCAGCUGUCGCUUCCUCUGGAAUUGGUCUGAUGGAGCAAAGGCACUUAGCUCAGCUCAGUACGA